GAGGAACGGACGAGAAAGGUGGUGAAGCAAGUGUACAAGAUUUAACAGAAUUCAAGGAUGUCAUAUCUGACAUGGCUGUAUUAUCCGGUAAACCAGAUCUGUCUGAUUUUUUCCCGUUCCUGGAGUGGAUGGAUUUACAAGGAGUAAAAAAAGAGGCAAAGUUUCUAAACAAAAGGUUUGAUGGAAUAUUCGAACAGAUCCUAUCUGGGAAAGUAUCAAACGACGGCAAAGAUUUUCUGGACGUACUUAUGCAGAUAGAAAAGAGAGGUGAUGAAAAUGGUAUUACCAAGAACAACAUCAAGGCUAUCUUACUGGAUUUUGUGACGGCAGGAACUGACACAACAUCAAGCACUAUAGAAUUUGCGGUAUGUGAAAUGUUGCGUAAUCCUGAUAUAAUGAACAAGGUGCAAGAAGAGUUAGAUAGAGUGGUCGGUUCUGAUACCAUAGUAGAAGAAAGACAUAUCUCAGAUUUACACUAUCUUUAUGCUGUUUUCGAAGAAACGCUUCGACUGUAUCCACCUAUUCCAUUUCUAAUCCCACACAGCAACAGCGAAGCUUCCAACAUCGGAGGUUAUAAUAUCCCAGCAAGAACUCGAAUUUUGAUCAACGUAUGGUCGAUCCAUCGUGACCCACAAGUAUGGGAAGAUCCAUUGGUUUUCAAACCAGAGAGGUUCAUCAAAGAUGGAGGUGGAAAGA
rnacentral:lncRNA from 1 species